rnacentral:misc_RNA from 1 species
GAUGAAGAACGUAGCGAAAUGCGAUAAGUAAUGCGAAUUGCAGAAUUUCCGUGAGUCAUCGAAUCUUUGAACGCACAUUGUGCCCACUGGUAUUCCGGUGGGCAUGCCUGUUCGAGCGUCAUUAUCCUCCCUCAAACCUCGGGUUUGGUGUUGGACCCAAGUUGUGUGAACAACUGGUCUUAAAGACAAUGACGGCGUCCGUGGGACCCUCGGUGCAACGAGCUUUUAGGAGCACGCGCCGAGUUUCAAGGACCUUCCGGGCCGGUCUCCUUUACCAUUUUACAAGGUUGACCUCGGAUCAGGUAGGAAUACCCGCUGAACUUAAGCAUAUCAAUAAGCGGAGGA